GAUGAACGCUGGCGGCGUGCCUAAUACAUGCAAGUCGAGCGAACAGACGAGGAGCUUGCGCCUUUGACGUUAGCGGCGGACGGGUGAGUAACACGUAGGUCACCUACCUAUAAUACUGGGAUAACUUCGGGAAAGCGGCUCUAAUCCGGUAGAAUAUUUCGAACCACAUGGUUCGAUAGUGAAAGAUGGCUUUUCUAUCUCGUAUAGAUGGACCUGCGCCUGAUGAGCUAGUUGGUAAGGUAACGGCUUACCAAGGCAACGAUACGUAGCCGACCUGAGGGGGUGAUCGGCCACACUGGAACUGAGACACGGUCCAGACUCCUACGGGAGGCAGCAGUAGGGAAUCUUCCGCAAUGGGCGAAAGCCUGACGGAGCAACGCCGCGUGAGUGAUGAAGGUCUUCGGAUCGUAAAACUCUGUUAUUAGGGAAGAACAAACGUGUAAGUAACUGUGCACGUCUUGACGGUACCUAAUCAGAAAGCCACGGCUAACUACGUG
rnacentral:rRNA from 1 species